AUCGCUUCUAGGCCUUUUGGCUAAGAUCAAGUGUAGAAACUGGAUAUGGAGGUGAAAAAGAAAAGAACCAGGGACAAAAGUAUAUGAAGUAUAUGAAAGCAUUUAGCUUAAUCUUUAUAGAGACACAUUGCUCUUUAGACGUCCGAUGUUACUUCUUCAAUAAAAGAGAAAAUCCUUU
rnacentral:snRNA from 1 species